rnacentral:rRNA from 1 species
UUCUCCCUUAGAGUUUGAUGGUGGCUCAAGAUGAACGCUGACACAAUGCUUAACACAUGCAAGUCAACUUGAAUUUGGGUUUUUAACUUACGUUUGGGUGGCGGAGGGGUGAGUAACUCGUAAAGAACUUGCCGCACAGCGAGGGACAACAUUUGGAAACGAAUGCUAAUACCUAAUAUUAUGAUAAGAAGGCAUCCUAUAAUUAUGAAACCUAUAAGCGCUGUGAGAGAGCUUUGCGUCCCAUUAGCUAGUUGGAGAGGUAACGGCUCACCAAGGCGAUGAUGGGUAGCCAGCCUGAGAGGGUGAUCGGCCACAAGGGGACUGAGACACAGCCCUUACUCCUACGGGAGGCAGCAGUGGGGAAUAUUGGACGAUGGACCAAGACUCUGAUCCAGCAAUUCUGUGUGCACGAUGAUGUUUUUCGGAAUGUAUAGUGCUUUCAGUUGGGAAGAGAGAAAUGACGGUACCAACAAAAGACGUGACCGCUAAAUACGUGCCAGCAGCCGCGGUAAUACGUAUGUCCCCGAGCGUUAUCCAGAUUUAUUGGGCGUAAAAGCGCGUCUAGGUGGUUAUGUGAGUCUGAUGUGAAAAUGCAGGGCUCAACUCUGUAUUGCGUUGGAAACUGUAUAACUAGAGUUACUGGAGAGGUAAGCGGAACUACAAGUGUAGAGGUGAAAUUCGUAGAUAUUUGUAGGAAUGCCGAUGGGGAAGCCAGCUUACUGGACAGAUACUGACGCUGAAGCGCGAAAGCGUGGGUAGCAAACAGGAUUAGAUACCCUGGUAGUCCACGCCGUAAACGAUGAUUACUAGGUGUUGGGGGUCGAACCUCAGCGCCCAAGCAAACGCGAUAAGUAAUCCGCCUGGGGAGUACGUACGCAAGUAUGAAACUCAAGGGAAUUGACGGGGACCCGCACAAGCGGUGGAGCAUGUGGUUUAAUUCGACGCAACGCGAGGAACCUUACCAGCGUUUGACAUCUUAGGAGUGAGAUAGAGAUAUUUCAGUGUCCCUUCGGGGAAACCUAAAGACAGGUGGUGCAUGGCUGUCGUCAGCUCGUGUCGUGAGAUGUUGGGUUAAGUCCCGCAACGAGCGCAACCCCUUUCGUAUGUUACCAUCAUUAAGUUGGGGACUCAUGCGAUACUGCCUGCGAUGAGCAGGAGGAAGGUGGGGAUGACGUCAAGUCAUCAUGCCCCUUAUACGCUGGGCUACACACGUGCUACAAUGGGUAGAACAGAGAGUCGCAAAGCUGUGAAGUGGGGCUAAUCUCAGAAAACUAUUCUUAGUUCGGAUUGUACUCUGCAACUCGAGUACAUGAAGUUGGGAUCGCUAGUAAUCGCGAAUCAGCAAUGUCGCGGUGAAUACGUUCUCGGGUCUUGUACACACCGCCCGUC